rnacentral:rRNA from 1 species
UAUACGACCGUACCGCAAACCGACACUGGUGCGCGAGAUGAGUAUUCUAAGGCGCUUGAGAGAACUCAGGAGAAGGAACUCGGCAAAUUGACACCGUAACUUCGGAAGAAGGUGUGCCCUAUUAGUGUGUAGUGAACAACGAAGCAUGAAUGGGUUGCAAAAAAUCGGUGGCUGCGACUGUUUAUUAAAAACACAGCACUCUGCAAACACGAAAGUGGACGUAUAGGGUGUGACGCCUGCCCGGUGCUGGAAGAUUAAAUGAUGGGGUGCAAGCUCUUGAUUGAAGUCCCAGUAAACGGCGGCCGUAACAAUAACGGUCCUAAGGUAGCGAAAUUCCUUGUCGGGUAAGUUCCGACCUGCACGAAUGGCGUAACGAUGGCCACACUGUCUCCUCCUGAGACUCAGCGAAGUUGAAAUGUUUGUGAUGAUGCAAUCUCCCCGCGGAAAGACGGAAAGACCCCAUGAACCUUUACUGUAGCUUUGUAUUGGACUUUGAACAGAUCUGUGUAGGAUAGGUGGGAGGCUUUGAAGCAGGGUCGCUAGAUCUUGUGGAGCCAACGUUGAAAUACCACCCUGGUGUGUUUGAGGUUCUAACCUAGGUCCAUUAUCUGGAUCGGGGACAGUGCAUGGUAGGCAGUUUGACUGGGGCGGUCUCCUCCCAAAGUGUAACGGAGGAGUUCGAAGGUACGCUAGUUACGGUCGGACAUCGUGACGAUAGUGCAAUGGCAUAAGCGUGCUUAACUGCGAGACUGACAAGUCGAGCAGAUGCGAAAGCAGGACAUAGUGAUCCGGUGGUUCUGUAUGGAAGGGCCAUCGCUCAACGGAUAAAAGGUACUCUGGGGAUAACAGGCUGAUACCGCCCAAGAGUUCAUAUCGACGGCGGUGUUUGGCACCUCGAUGUCGGCUCAUCUCAUCCUGGGGCUGUAGCCGGUCCCAAGGGUAUGGCUGUUCGCCAUUUAAAGAGGUACGUGAGCUGGGUUUAAAACGUCGUGAGACAGUUUGGUCCCUAUCUUCCGUGGGCGCUGCAGAUUUGAGGAAGCCUGCUCCUAGUACGAGAGGACCGGAGUGGACACACCUCUGGUGUAUCGGUUGUCACGCCAGUGGCAUUGCCGAGUAGCUAAGUGUGGAAGAGAUAACCGCUGAAAGCAUCUAAGCGGGAAACUCGUUUCAAGAUGAGAUCUGCCGGGGCCUUGAGCCCCCUAAAGAGUCGUUCAAGACCAGGACGUUGAUAGGUCAGGUGUGGAAGC